AGCGAACGCUGGCGGCAGGCUUAACACAUGCAAGUCGAGCGGGCGUAGCAAUACGUCAGCGGCAGACGGGUGAGUAACGCGUGGGAACAUACCUUUUGGUCGGAACAACUGAGGGAAACUUCAGCUAAUACCGGAUAAGCCCUUACGGGGAAAGAUUUAUCGCCGAAAAGAUUGGCCCGCGUCUGAUUAGCUUGUUGGUGAGGUAACGGCUCACCAAGGCGACGAUCAGUAGCUGGUCGAGAGGAUGAUCAGCCACAUUGGGACUGAGACACGGCCCAAACUCCUACGGGAGGCAGCAGUGGGGAAUAUUGGACAAUGGGCGCAAGCCUGAUCCAGCCAUGCCGCGUGAGUGAUGAAGGCCCUAGGGUU
rnacentral:rRNA from 1 species